rnacentral:rRNA from 1 species
CCUACGGGAGGCAGCAGUGGGGAAUUUUGGACAAUGGGGGCAACCCUGAUCCAGCCAUGCCGCGUGAGUGAAGAAGGCCUUCGGGUUGUAAAGCUCUUUCGGCGGGGAAGAAAUGGCAACGGCUAAUAUCCGUUGUUGAUGACGGUACCCGCAUAAGAAGCACCGGCUAACUACGUGCCAGCAGCCGCGGUAAUA